rnacentral:lncRNA from 1 species
CUGCCUGCCUCCUCCCUCAUGUCCCCAUCACCACAGGGGUUCAUCAGUCCUGGACAGGCCCAGGCCUGGCCCCUCCUGCUUUUCUCCAGCAGGAGGCAGGGCUGCAGCCCAUAGCCUCACUUCUGAGUAAGGCCUGACUCUGAAAUAUUGCACAAAGAGGUCCUGACCCUGGAGAGUGAAUUGAUUUCGGACCGAAAGGGGUCAAGAGGCAGAUUAGGGACUGCUUGGUGAUCCUGUUCAGGGCUUGUGCAGUGCACAACAGAAGAGACCUGUUCAGUUCAUGGCUGCCAGGAAGAAGGAGAAAGAGAAGGAGGAGGAGGAAGAGGAGGAGGAGGAGGAGGAGAUGAAGAAGAAGAAGAAGAGGAAAAAGAAGAGGAGGAGGAGGAAGAGGAGGAGAUGAAGGAGAGAAGGAGAUGAAGGAGAAGGAGGAGAAGGAGAAGAAGGAGAGCACAGGAAUGACCAAAGGAGAGAAAAAAAAGUCCUGGACUUCUGCAGCUGAUGCCCCAAGAUAGGAGUCAAAACAUAAAAGGGAUGUUUAAGAGGGAUGGCAUAGCUGGUGCAGGUGGAGGGAGUGUGCCCCGGGAGGGGGCAGCACCAUGUGCAAAGGCCGGCCGGGAGACAGGACCCAGAGGAAAGAGGCUCUGGGAAGUAGAGCACUGCCUCAGAGGAGAGAGGGCACUGGGCCACAUGGUGAGGCGUGCUAGCCACAGUGUGGAGCUUGGAUUUAUUUAAUUUUUUGUGGUUCUGGGAUUCAAAAUCGGGGCCUUGCACAUGAUAGGCAAGCACACUAUCACUGAGCUACACCCCCGUCUUUUUUUAUUUCCUUUUGAGACAGAGUCUUACUAAGUUGCCCAAGGUAAGUUCAAAUUUGUGAUCUUACCGCCUCAGCCUCCCUAGUAGCUGGGAUUAUAGGCAUGCACCGCCUCAUCUGGCCCUGGAUUUUAUUUUUUGUGCCAUGGGGAGAAGUUGACAAGUUUUAAGCGGAGAUAUAAUGGUCUAGCUCAGUGAUGGUGAACCUUUUAGAGGCUUCAAUAAUACAAACAGCCCACUGCUGCACAUAUGUCAUAAGUUCACCACCCCUGGUCUAUUUGGUUUGGUUUGGUUGUUUUAAUUGAGUUAGCAUUUACAUAAAA